GCUGGGUGUGGUGGCACAUGCCUGUAAUCCCAGCAGCUUGGGAGGCUGAGGCAGGAGGACUGCAAGUUCAAAGCCAGUCUUAGCAACUUAGCAAGGCCCUAAGGAACUCAGUGAGACCCUGUCUUUA
rnacentral:sRNA from 1 species